UUGACCUCAAAUCAGGUAGGACUACCCGCUGAACUUAAGCAUAUCAAUAAGCGGAGGAAAAGAAACUAACAAGGAUUCCCCUAGUAACUGCGAGUGAAGCGGGAAAAGCUCAAAUUUAAAAUCUGGUAGUCUUCGGCUGCCCGAGUUGUAAUCUAGAGAAGCAUUAUCUGCGCUGGACCGUGUACAAGUGUCCUGGAAUGGACCAUCAUAGAGGGUGAGAAUCCCGUCUUUGACACGGACUCCCAGGGCUUUGUGAUGUGCUCUCAAAGAGUCGAGUUGUUUGGGAAUGCAGCUCUAAAUGGGUGGUAAAUUCCAUCUAAAGCUAAAUAUUGGCGAGAGACCGAUAGCGAACAAGUACCGUGAGGGAAAGAUGAAAAGAACUUUGGAAAGAGAGUUAAACAGUACGUGAAAUUGCUGAAAGGGAAACGCUUGAAGUCAGUCGCGUUGGCUGGGGAUCAACCUUGCUUUUUUGCUUGGCUUACUUCCCAGUUGACGGGUCAGCAUCAGUUUUGACCGGUGGAUAAAGGCUAGGGGAAUGUGGCACCCUCGGGUGUG
rnacentral:rRNA from 1 species